ACCUUACAUAGCUCAGUCAGUAGAGCAUGGGACUUAAUCUCAGGGUCAAGAGUUCAAGCCUCAUGUUGGGCA